rnacentral:rRNA from 1 species
UCCGUAGGCGGUUUAAUAAGUCAGUGGUGAAAUCUCUAAGCUCAACUUAGAAAUUGCCAUUGAUACUGUUGGACUUGAGUGUGAUUGAGGUAGCUGGAAUGGAUAGUGUAGCGGUGAAAUGCAUAGAUAUUAUCCAGAACACCGAUUGCGAAGGCAGGUUACUAAGUCAUAACUGACGCUGAGGCACGAAAGUGUGGGGAUCAAACAGGAUUAGAUACCCCGGUA